GCGGAAGUUCCUAGGCCAGCCUGUCACGUGGGAGGGAGGCUCGGAGCUCAGGAAGCAUGGCACUCUGGCGGGCAUACCAGCGGGCCCUGGCUGCUCACCCGUGGAAAGUACAGGUCCUGACAGCUGGGUCCCUGAUGGGCCUGGGUGACAUUAUCUCACAGCAGCUGGUGGAGAGGCGGGGUCUGCAGGAACACCAGAGAGGCCGGACUCUGACCAUGGUGUCCCUGGGCUGUGGCUUUGUGGGCCCUGUGGUAGGAGGCUGGUACAAGGUUUUGGAUCGGUUCAUCCCUGGCACCACCAAAGUGGAUGCACUGAAGAAGAUGUUGUUGGAUCAGGGGGGCUUUGCCCCGUGUUUUCUAGGCUGCUUUCUCCCACUGGUAGGGGCACUUAAUGGACUGCCAGCCCAGGACAACUGGGCCAAACUACAGCGGGUGAGCUGGGCAGGUGUGGAGAAUGUCUCUGGCUGGCGGGCUGACAGCCCAGGGGAAGAAGACAGGUUUUACAGGGAUAAAAAAGGGGGUAAGUGCAGGUAGAGCCCCAGGCCAUGGAGGAGAGGAGCUGAGGGUUAUGGUGCAGGAAUGUGCUCUUUGAACCCAAGUCUGUGUGUGACAUUCACACUGGGAAGUGGGAGCUGCUUGGGGGCGCAAGUGUUAAUUUGUUCCUUCUCUGUCUCCCCAGGAUUAUCCUGAUGCCCUUAUCACCAACUACUAUCUAUGGCCUGCUGUGCAGUUAGCCAACUUCUACCUGGUCCCCCUUCAUUACAGGUUGGCCGUUGUCCAAUGUGUUGCUGUUAUCUGGAACUCCUACCUGUCCUGGAAGGCACAUCGGCUCUAAGCCUGCCUCACUCCAUUGUUUCCACCUUGCAGUGAUGCAGCUUGACCCUGGAACGGUCAGAC
rnacentral:sRNA from 1 species